AUUGAACGCUGGCGGCAUGCCUUACACAUGCAAGUCGAACGGUAACAGGUCUUCGGAUGCUGACGAGUGGCGAACGGGUGAGUAAUACGUCGGAACGUGCCUAGUAGUGGGGGAUAACUCAUCGAAAGAGUGGCUAAUACCUCAUGAGAUCUACGGAUGAACGCCGGGGAUCGAAAGACCUUGUGCUACUAGACCGGCCGAUGGCAGAUUAGGUAGUUGGUGGGAUAAAAGCAUACCAAGCCGACGAUCUGUAGCUGGUCUGAGAGGACGAUCAUCCACACUGAGACUGAGACACGGCCCAGACUCCUACGGGAGGCAGCAGUGGGGAAUUUUGGACAAUGGGCGAAAGCCUGAUCCAGCAAUGCCGCGUGCAGGAUGAAGGCCUUCGGGUUGUAAACUGCUUUUGUACGGAACGAAAAGCCCUGGGUUAAUACCCUGGGGUCAUGACGGUACCGUAAGAAUAGGCACCGGCUAACUACGUGCCAGCAGCCGCCGUAACAC
rnacentral:rRNA from 1 species